AGCCAAUUUCAUCACAGCUC
rnacentral:snRNA from 1 species